rnacentral:rRNA from 1 species
GGCUGCAGUCGAACGCGAAAGAGGGGGCAACUCCUCGAGUAGAGUGGCGAAAGGGGCAGUAAGGCGUGGGUAACCUACCUCGGGGACUGGGACACACACGUAACAGUGGUAAAUUCCGGGCGAUGUAGCGAAGGCGCAUGUUUUUGCUACGAAAUGAGUUUCGCCUCGAGAGGGGCUCACGUGGUAUUAGCUUGUUGGUGGGGUAACGGCCUACCAAGGCAAAGAUGCCUAGCGGGUGUGAGAGCACGACCCGCGCCACUGGCACUGAGACACUGGCCAGACUCUUACGGGAGGCUGCAGUCGAGGAUCUUCGGCAAUGGGCGCAAGCCUGACCGAGCGACGCCGCGUGCGCGAUGAAGGCCUUCGGGUUGUAAAGCGCUGUCGAGGGGGAGGAAAGCCGCAAGGUCUGACCUAUCCCUGGAGGAAGCACGGGCUAAGUUCGUGCCAGCAGCCGCGGUAAGACGAACCGUGCGAACGUUGUUCGGAAUCACUGGGCUUAAAGGGCGCGUAGGCGGCUUGCCAAGUCCGGGGUGAAAUCUUUCGGCUUAACCGGAAAAGUGCCUUGGAUACUGGCAAGCUCGAGGGAGGUAGGGGCAUGUGGAACUUCCGGUGGAGCGGUGAAAUGCGUUGAUAUCGGAAGGAACGCCGGUGGCGAAAGCGACGUGCUGGAUCUCUUCUGACGCUGAGGCGCGAAAGCUAGGGGAGCGAACGGGAUUAGAUACCCCGGUAGUCCUAGCCCUAAACGAUGGGUACUAGUGUGGACUUGACAUGGGUUCACAGCCGAAGCAAAAGUGAUAAGUACCCCGCCGGGGAGUAUGGUCGCAAGGCUGAAACUCAAGGAAUUGACGGGGGCUCACACAGCGGUGGACAUGUGCUU